AAUAUGGUACAAUGGGGGCAACCCUUAUCCAGCUAUGCCGCGUGUGUGAAGAAGGUCUUCGUAUUNUAAAGCACUUUAAGUUGGGANGAAGGGCUUUAGGUUAAUACACUGACGCUUUCACGUUACCAACUGAAUAAGCACCGGCCAACUCUGUACCAGCAGCCGUGGUAAUAAAGAGUGUGCAAGCGUUAAUCGGAAUUACUGGGCGGAAAGCGCGGGUAGGUGGUUCAGUAAGAAGGUUGUUAAAUCCCAGGGCUUAACCUGGGAGCUGCUUUCAUAAAUGCUGGGCUAGUGUAGGGUAGAGGGUAGUGGAAUUUCCUGUGUAGCGGUGGAAUGAGUAGAUAUAGGAAGGAGCAUCAGUGGCGAAGGCGACUACCUGGACUACUACUGACACUGAGGUGCGAAAGCGUGGGGAGCAAAC
rnacentral:rRNA from 1 species